GGAUUAGAUACCCUGGUAGUCCAUGCCGUAAACGUUGGGCACUAGGUGUGGGGGACAUUCCACGUUCUCCGCGCCGUAGCUAACGCAUUAAGUGCCCCGCCUGGGGAGUACGGUCGCAAGGCUAAAACUCAAAGGAAUUGACGGGGGCCCGCACAAGCGGCGGAGCAUGCGGAUUAAUUCGAUGCAACGCGAAGAACCUUACCAAGGCUUGACAUACACUAGACCGGCCUGGAAACAGGUCCUCCUCUUUGAGGUUGGUGUACAGGUGGUGCAUGGUUGUCGUCAGCUCGUGCUG
rnacentral:rRNA from 1 species